rnacentral:rRNA from 1 species
CCAGACUCCUACGGGAGGCAGCAGUGGGGGAUAUUGCACAAUGGGGGAAACCCUGAUGCAGCGACGCCGCGUGUGGGAAGACGGUCUUCUGGAUUGUAAACCACUGUCCCCAGGGACGAAAAUGACGGUACCUGGGGAGGAAGCUCCGGCUAACUACGUGCCAGCAGCCGCGGUAAUACGUAGGGGGCAAGCGUUGUCCGGAUUUACUGGGUGUAAAGGGAGCGUAGGCGGUGCAGCAAGUCAGAAGUGAAAGCCCGGGGCUCAACUCCGGGACUGCUUUUGAAACUGUUGAACUAGAUUGCAGGAGAGGUAAGUGGAAUUCCUAGUGUAGCGGUGAAAUGCGUAGAUAUUAGGAGGAACACCAGUGGCGAAGGCGGCUUACUGGACUGCAACUGACGUUGAGGCCCGAAAGCGUAGGGAGCAAACAGGAUUAGAUACCCCGGUAC